GCUGGCGGCACGCCUAACACAUGCAAGUCGAACGAAGUAGCAAUACUUAGUGGCAGACGGGUGAGUAACAUGUGGGUAUCUUCCCUUUGGCCUGGAAUAACACGAGGAAACUUGUGCUAAUACUGGAUAAGUCUUUACGGAGAAAGCUUUAUGCACCAUUGGAUGAGCCCGCACUUGAUUAGUUUGUUGGUGGGGUAAUGGCCUACCAAGACUUUGAUCAAUAGCUGAUUUGAGAGGAUGAUCAGCCACAUUGGGACUGAGACACGGCCCAAACUCCUACGGGAGGCAGCAGUGGGGAAUCUUGCACAAUGGAGGAAACUCUGAUGCAGCGAUGCCGCGUGAGUGAAGAAGGCCUUUGGGUUGUAAAGCUCUUUCGUCGGGGAAGAAAAUGACUGUACCCGAAUAAGAAGGUCCGGCUAACUUCGUGCCAGCAGCCGCGGUAAUACGAAGGGACCUAGCGUAGUUCGGAAUUACUGGGCUUAAAGAGUUCGUAGGUGGUUGAAAAAGUUGGUGGUGAAAUCCCAGAGCUUAACUCUGGAACUGCCAUCAAAACUUUUCAGCUAGAGUUUGAUAGAGGAAAGCAGAAUUUCUAGUGUAGAGGUGAAAUUCGUAGAUAUUAGAAAGAAUACCAAUUGCGAAGGCAGCUUUCUGGAUCAUUACUGACGCUGAGGAACGAAAGCAUGGGUAGCGAAGAGGAUUAGAUACCCUCGUAGUCCAUGCCGUAAACGAUGUGUGUUAGACGUUGGAAAUUUAUUUUCAGUGUCGCAGCGAAAGCGAUAAACACACCGCCUGGGGAGUACGACCG
rnacentral:rRNA from 1 species